AAAAAAAACUGACAUGCAGAGAAUAGGCCGUUCUUCUCUCUGGGGAAACAGAUCCUAGAGUCUCACCGUGUGUCUGUCAGGUCUGUCAGUAAGGCCUGUUUUAUCAGGUCACAUUGCCAUGUAUAAUGGAUGUUACUGUGGCAACCUGACAGGAUGAGAUGCUUUGUCUCUCUCUUUUCCUGCAUAUGAGAACUGAGCAGUGAAUUCUGAAGGGUCCUUCUAGCUCCGAGCUGUGCUUUCAGGCCGCUUCACUCCAUCAAACAGCUGAUAAAAUGGUCCGGGGAGAGCGAGAGAGACAGACUGCUGUGCCUGACGUGGAUACCGGGGCUUGUGAAACUGACCAGAUAAACUCCAUGAAAGUCAAUGGGAUCCUUUUUUUUCCGGACUGCGUAUAUGGACAAAAACUGUUUAAACACCGUAGAGAAUAUCUUCUUUUGUGUUCUACAGAAGAAACAAAGUCAUGCAGGUUUGAAAUCACAUGGGGGUGAGUAAAUGAUGACAGUAUUUAUUUUUGGGUGAGCUGUCCCUUUAAAUAGAACACAGAUGGAAGUUGAUUGUUUUGUGAGUUUGUGAGCUAAUUAAGUACUAAGAGUUUAUUUUUUUUAUUUGUAUUUUUUUAGGACAUAAAUGGUUUUGGACAUGUACUAUGGUAAAACGCCUGAAACUUUGACACCAUGUCAAGAAGACUAAUGAACUGUGUAGUAUCUCUUUAUGCGUAACGAUGGGUGUCCAUCAAAUUAACGCAAGACUUAACUCCUCUGAACAAAGUACAUCCCUGUCUUUUAAGACAGAAACAGGUGGGUCGGGGGAUUUGCUUCACGUACUGUGAAAGCAGACGUGGCUUUUCAUGUUUUUCAUCUCUUUCUCUCCCCUUUUUGCCUUUCAAUGCAUUCUUUUUCUCCCUCUCUCACUAAACAGACAACAAGCCCUCACCACCUCCGAGAACGCAGGGUAUGAUGCACUCUAAAAAACGCUGGGUUGUUUUUUUCAACCCAACUGCUGGGUUGAGGCCGUUGGAUAGGACUUUGGGAUGUUUUAACCCAAGUUUGGGUUGAAAAUAAGGUUUAAAAAAAAAAAGUUUAACCCAGCGGGUCUGGGUUGAGGACGCGGACGUGAAGGAGAGCACGCACGUCACGUCAAGAUCGUACGUCUCCAGUGCGAGCAGCCGCCAUUUUCUCAGCGUGAUAGAAGCGAGAAGCGAGUGAAAGACUAUGGUAAGUAAAUAUUUAAAAUGUAAAGUUAUCUUUUAUUGUUUACCAGGUUGUAUGAAAGGCGGAAUGUUUUAUGAAAGGCGGAAACAAAGGAGCUUAACGUUAUAUAUAUAUAUAUAUAUUUAAAAAAAAACGGACGCGGUUUUCGCCUCAGACACGGAGGUCUUAACUGCCUCAUGUAACGGUACUGAACGGAGGAUGUACUUUUAAUAUAACGUCUGUGAAUGUAUUUUGUCAUAUUUACAUAAGAUUUAACAUUAUCUGUACUUUUUGAGGCGUUAACAGACGGUUAUGGUCACGGUUACGCUCAUGUGAAUUUGUCUUUUUUUUUCGCGGUUAAACUGAAUGUAUGUUUGUCUCCUAAAGGAAACGGCAUUGUGUAGUAAAGACUAGCAUAAUUAUUUUGAGGCUGUUGAAGUGGUAACUGUUAAAAGUAUGUUUUACAUGUAAUAUUUCAGACUUGUCAAGCUUGUGUCUUCAUUGUCCUCGCGCUGAGAGUUAAAGACACAGAAGCUGUUUGUGUGAGGAGUCACAGACCUGUGUGAGGAUGAGGAGGAGGUGUUUUUCUGAAGAGAGGGACAGACGGUUUAAGGAGAGUAAACUUCAGAAUAACAUCAAGUUAUCUUUAUUUUUACUAAGACUAAAAUAAUGUUGUUGUUUUUUUUAGAUGUUGCAAUCCAGAGACAAGAUAACUUCAUUCUUUUGAGACUGAUGUAAGUUAAGUUAUUAUUACUUUUUUUUUUUAGAAAAUUAAUGUUUAUGUUGUGUCCUGCCUGUUAACU
ensembl:lncRNA